rnacentral:rRNA from 1 species
UAGAACUAACAGGAUUCCCCUAGUAACUGCGAGUGAAGCGGGAAAAGCUCAAAUUUAAAAUCUGGCGGUCUUUGGCUGUCCGAGUUGUAAUUUAGAGAAGCGUCUUCCGCGCCGGUCCGUGCACAAGUCUCCUGGAAUGGAGCGUCAUAGAGGGUGAGAAUCCCGUCUUUGGCACGGAUGCCUGGUGCUUCUGUGAUGCGCUCUCGAAGAGUCGAGUUGUUUGGGAAUGCAGCUCAAAAUGGGUGGUGAACUCCAUCUAAAGCUAAAUAUUGGCGAGAGACCGAUAGCGAACAAGUACCGUGAGGGAAAGAUGAAAAGCACUUUGGAAAGAGAGUGAAACAGUACGUGAAAUUGUUGAAAGGGAAACGCUUGAAGUCAGUCGCGUCGACCGAGACUCAGCCUUGCCUUGGCUUGGUGUACUUCUCGGCACGACGGGUCAGCAUCAAUUUUGCCCCUCGGAUAAUGGCAAGGGAAAGGUGGCACCUUCACGGGUGUGUUAUAGUCUCCUGUCGCAUGCGAGGGGUGGGAUUGAGGAACUCAGCGCGCACCUUGGUGUCGGGGCUUCGGCCCACGUCACGCGCUUAGGAUGCUGGCGUAAUGGCUUUAAACGACCCGUCUUGAAACACGGACCAAGGAGUCUAACAUGCCCGCGAGUGUUCGGGUGGAAAACCCGUGCGCGUAAUGAAAGUGAAAGUUGGGACCUCUGUCGUGGAGGGCACCGACGCCCGGACCAGACCUUCUGUGACGGAUCUGCGGUAGAGCGUGUAUGUUGGGACCCGAAAGAUGGUGAACUAUGCCUGAAUAGGGUGAAGCCAGAGGAAACUCUGGUGGAGGCUCGUAGCGAUUCUGACGUGCAAAUCGAUCGUCAAAUUUGGGUAUAGGGGCGAAAGACUAAUCGAACCAUCUAGUAGCUGGUUCUGCG